rnacentral:sRNA from 1 species
UUUACAGUCCUGGAGACUGAAGUCCUCUAUUUAAACAGAGAACAAGAACAGUGUGGGCACUGGGAGUGCAAGUUUCCUUCUCCAGUUAGUGUAUCUCAGAGCCUGACUGCAGGGAUCACCAGGACUCAGGCAUUUUCUGUGGCCUGUCCAAAACAUCUCUAGCCAUA